rnacentral:rRNA from 1 species
AUUGAACGCUGGCGGCAGGCCUAACACAUGCAAGUCGAGCGGUUGAAGGGAGCUUGCUCCUGGAUUCAGCGGCGGACGGUUGAGUAAUGCCUAUGAAUCUGCCUGGUAGUGGGGGAUAACGUCCGGAAACGGGCGCUAAUACCGCAUACGUCCUGAGGGAGAAAGUGGGGGAUCUUCGGACCUCACGCUAUCAGAUGAGCCUAUGUCGGAUUAGCUAGUUGGUGGGGUAAAGGCCUACCAAGGCGACGAUCCGUAACUGGUCUGAGAGGAUGAUCAGUCAAACUGGAACUGAGACACGGUCCAGACUACUACGGGAGGCAGCAGUGGGGAAUAUUGGACAAUGGGCGAAAGCCUGAUCCAGCCAUGCCGCGUGUGUGAAGAAGGUCUUCGGAUUGUAAAGCACUUUAAGUUGGGAGGAAGGGCAGUAAGUUAAUAACUUGCUGAUUUGACGUUACCAACAGAAUAAGAACCGGCUAACUUCGUG